GUUGUAUAGUCAAGUAAUUAAGUGCAUGUGGUGGAUGCCUUGGCAGUCAGAGGCGAUGAAAGACGUGAUAGCCUGCGAAAAGCUCCGGGGAGGCGGCAAAUAUCCUUUGAUCCGGAGAUGUCUGAAUGGGGGAACCCACCUACUUUAAGGUAGGUAUUGCAACAUGAAUACAUAGUGUUGCAAGGCGAACGAGGGGAAGUGAAACAUCUCAGUACCCUUAGGAAAAGAAAUCAAUUGAGAUUCCCUCAGUAGCGGCGAGCGAACGGGGAUCAGCCCAUUAAGUUAUGUGUGUUUUAGUGGAACGCUCUGGGAAGUGCGAACGUAGAGGGUGAUAUUCCCGUACACGAAAGGGCACACAUAAUGAUGACGAGUAGGGCGAGGCACGUGAAACCUUGUCUGAAUAUGGGGGGACCAUCCUCCAAGGCUAAAUACUCCUGACUGACCGAUAGUGAACCAGUACCGUGAGGGAAAGGCGAAAAGAACCCCUGUGAGGGGAGUGAAAUAGAUCCUGAAACCGCAUGCAUACAAGCAGUGGGAGCACCUUCGUGGUGUGACUGCGUACCUUUUGUAUAAUGGGUCAGCGACUUAUAUUCAGUAGCGAGGUUAACCGUAUAGGGGAGCCGUAGAGAAAUCGAGUCUUAAUAGGGCGUUUAGUUGCUGGGUAUAGACCCGAAACCAGGCGAUCUAUCCAUGAGCAGGUUGAAGGUUGGGUAACACUAACUGGAGGACCGAACCCACUGUCGUUGAAAAGCCAGGGGAUGACUUGUGGAUAGGGGUGAAAGGCUAAUCAAGCCUGGUGAUAGCUGGUUCUCCCCGAAAGCUAUUUAGGUAGCGCCUCGGACGAAUACCAUAGGGGGUAGAGCACUGUUUCGGCUAGGGGGUCAUCCCGACUUACCAAACCGAUGCAAACUCCGAAUACCUAUGAGUACUAUCCGGGAGACAGACUGCGGGUGCUAACGUCCGUAGUCAAGAGGAAAACAAUCCAGACCGCCAGCUAAGGCCCCAAAAUCAUAGUUAAGUGGGAAACGAUGUGGGAAGGCAUAGACAGCUAGGAGGUUGGCUUAGAAGCAGCCACCCUUUAAAGAAAGCGUAAUAGCUCACUAGUCGAGUCGGCCUGCGCGGAAGAUGUAACGGGGCUAAAACUAUGUGCCGAAGCUGCGGAUGUAUACUUUGUAUACGUGGUAGGGGAGCGUUCUGUAAGCCGAUGAAGGUGUGUUGAGAAGCAUGCUGGAGGUAUCAGAAGUGCGAAUGCUGACGUGAGUAACGACAAAACGGGUGAAAAACCCGUUCGCCGAAAGACCAAGGGUUCCAGUCCAACGUUAAUCGGGGCUGGGUGAGUCGACCCCUAAGGCGAGGCCGAAAGGCGUAGUCGAUGGGAAAAUGGUUAAUAUUCCAUUACUUCUGUGUAAUGCGAUGAGAGGACGGAGAAGGCUAAAUCAGCCUGGCGUUGGUUGUCCAGGUGAAAGGAUGUAGGCAUGUAUCUUAGGCAAAUCCGGGGUACUCUAUGCUGAGAUCUGAUAGCAAGCUGUACUUGUACAGCGAAGUGGUUGAUGCCAUGCUUCCAGGAAAAGUCUCUAAGCUUCAGUUACACAGGAAUCGUACCCGAAACCGACACAGGUGGUCAGGUCGAGUAGACCAAGGCGCUUGAGAGAACUCUGCUGAAGGAACUAGGCAAAAUGGUACCGUAACUUCGGGAGAAGGUACGCUGUUGUUGGUGAUGGAACUCGCUUCCUGAGCUGACGACAGCCGCAGAAACCAGGCCGCUGCAACUGUUUAUUAAAAACAUAGCACUCUGCAAACACGAAAGUGGACGUAUAGGGUGUGAUGCCUGCCCGGUGCUGGAAGGUUAAUUGAUGGGGUUAGCGUAAGCGAAGCUCUUGAUCGAAGCCCCAGUAAACGGCGGCCGUAACUAUAACGGUCCUAAGGUAGCGAAAUUCCUUGUCGGGUAAGUUCCGACCUGCACGAAUGGCAUAAUGAUGGCGGCGCUGUCUCCAGCAGAGGCUCAGUGAAAUCGAAAUCGCUGUGAAGAUGCAGUGUACCCGCGGCUAGACGGAAAGACCCCGUGAACCUUUACUGCAGCUUGACACUGAACUUUGACCUUACUUGUGUAGGAUAGGUGGGAGGCUUUGAAGCUGGAACGCUAGUUCCAGUGGAGCCGUCCUUGAAAUACCACCCUGGUAAUGUUGAGGUUCUAACUCUGUCCCGUGAUCCGGGACGAGGACCGUGUCUGGUGGGUAGUUUGACUGGGGCGGUCUCCUCCUAAAGAGUAACGGAGGAGUACGAAGGUG
rnacentral:rRNA from 1 species